rnacentral:rRNA from 1 species
UACGGGGGGGGCAAGCGUUGUUCGGAAUUACUGGGCGUAAAGGGCUCGUAGGCGGCCAACUAAGUCAGACGUGAAAUCCCUCGGCUUAACCGGGGAACUGCGUCUGAUACUGGAUGGCUCGAGUUUGGGAGAGGGAUGCGGAAUUCCAGGUGUAGCGGUGAAAUGCGUAGAGAUCGGGAGGAACACCAGAGGCGAAGGCGGCGACCUGGACAAGUACUGACACUCAACUGCGAAAGCGUGGGGAGCAAACAGG